UUGUAGCUUUUUGUGUAAUUAAGUAAAAAUCUAUUGAAGCAUAUGCAUGUAAAAAAAAUAUAAUCUAUUCAUUGUUGAAUAUAACCUCAAUGAAAUAGUGAUAAAGAACGAGUAGUAUGUUCUAGAAGCAUUCGAUUUCUUUCGAGUUAGAAGGCUUUCUUUUACACUGCAUUUAAUCAAAUUAAAAAAUCAUAAUUAGGAAAAGAAAACAAAUAUUAAAAAGUCAUCAUGUCAAUAAAUAAAGGAUAAAAAAUAGUCAUGAUGAAGAGUCAAUUGUAAUUCGAUCAACUAAAUAACCUUCGCACAGUCAGAGAGCAAUGGCAGAGAGAAAGGUGUUAUAGAAGCAAAAGAAAAGGUGCGAUGGACUCCUACUCAUGGCAAUUACUUGGCCCCAUUCCUUCUCUUGAAAUAUGCUUGGACGAUUUCGCGAUAUUUAUCGAUAUAUAAAACACUUUCACACAAAACGAUGUGACAUCAUAUGUAUAUCUGUCGUUUGUCCAGGAGGUAAGCUUUAUUUCAAAUCUUUGCUUCUCUACGUGACUCAUAAGUCAUUGAUAUACUUAACUACUAGAGCAAAAAAUAAAUACGAUCAACGACUGCACAUAAAUCGUUUAACUCAUUUAACUCAAUUUCGGGCAUUAUUCAAUUAUCUGUUGCUCAAUCCAAUUAAUCUAGAAUUUUUAUUUACUAGAAUAAUAAAGUAAGUCGAGGGCAUUUAUCAAAUAUAACUGUAUCUAAUUUAUUUUAUUUAUUCGCGUAUAAUACAUUUACAU